CGCAUGGUAAACUUAUGCUAUUUGCCUCCCAAAAAUCUAAUCUUGAAAAGUGGUCAACGGAUGGGUGGGGUCUUGCCUUUGAAUGUUUCACCACGUUUCAUUUGCUGUUUUAAUCUGUGCUCUUUCCAAGCAAGAAUCCCAACUUUCCCAACAACUUCCCUUCUCAAGUCUUCCUGAAAAAUCCCAUUUCCUCAAUUCUCACCACAGAAAAUAACAGAGGAAGCUUGCUUCUUUAACCUGAUGGAUACAAGGAUGGAUGAUGCUGAUGGAAGACUAGAAAUUUCUAGGGGAGGGGAGCCGAGUCUACAUGAAAUUGACAUGAAUCAAGAACCAUAUGAGGGUAUGCUAUUUGAGUCAGAAGAAACAGCUAAAGCAUUUUAUGAUGAUUAUGCCAGACAAGUGGGGUUUUCAACGCGUGUUUUGUCUUCCCGAAAGUCAGAACGUGAUGGAUCACUCAUCUCUCGGGGAAUAGGUUGUAGAGGAGGUUCAGAUGGUAGGAGAAGAGGUAAAAGCCAUAUGCAAGAUAAGCAACAAGAAGGUUGCAAGGCUAAGCAACAAGAAGGUUGCAAGGCUAUGAUUUUGUUGAAAAGAGAGAAGCCUGGGAGAUGGAUUGUUAGAAAAUUUUUGGGGGCCCAUAAUCACCCAUUGGUAGAUCAAUUGCCAAAAAGUCGUCAGAAGCUUGAUGAGAAGGAUAAGAAGAUUCAGGAAUUAACUACAGAACUGCACAUUAAGAAACGGUUAAGUACAGCAUAUCGAGAACAGUUGCUUACAUUUAUGAAAGAUGUUGAAGACCACAAUGUUCACUUGUCAACAAAAGUUCAAUUAAUUUUUGACAAUCUUAAAAAGCUUGAGGCAGAAAGGCAGGAGCUUUUACAACACAAAUAACUCCCACAAGCAGAGCUUACCCACAUUUCUUUAUACUAGUUAGUCUUGCCUCUUUGUUUAUUUUAAUUCUUUAGUAGACUAGGAGUAGUAGUAGUAGGAUGUUCCAUGGUUGUUGAAUAGCUCUUUAUUUGAAGUAAAAGAACUUCCACGUGCAGAGCAUAAUCAUGCAGAGCAUAACAACAUUUCUUCAUACUAGUUAGUCAUGCCUCUAUGUUCAUUUUAAUUCUCUUGUAGUGGUAGUAGGAUUUUUUUGAAUGUUCCAUGGUUAUUGAAUAGCUUUCUAUUUUCCUUUUGAUGGUUUCUGAUGUUGAAGUGAUUAAUGAUGACAAUUGGCUAUUAACAGACCUGAUGAUAUUAACUUAGUUGUCGUAUAUUUUUAAAAUGUCAUCGUAUGACUUCUUCACCAUUAGUUGUGACCCUGUCUCCUAAUUUAUGUUGUAAUUUCUUUUAUAAUGGCAGAUGCCAGCGUAGAAAUUUUCAGAAAUAUUAAGAGUAUGAAUCAGGAAACUUGUUUUUAAAUUUUCACCUAGAAGCUUGAGUUUGUAAGUUGAGAGGUUGUUUAAAACAUGAAUCUCCGGUCAAAUGAAAGUAUCAAGUUUUCACCAGCAUUUUGCUUAGGAAGCAUACAAUUUCAGAUUUCCAUUGCUUUCUUUACCCAAUUAUCUUUUUAUCUUUCCAUCUUCUUGUUGCAGAACAAGUAUAGAACCUGACCAACAAAAUCUAAUGGAACAUUCCUUAAUAGGGACUGACCGACAAAAAAGCAGUGAAAGUUGCUUUCAGGAUAUCACAGUUGCAGCAAUAAGAGUAAAUCAGUAGUCACCAAUUUCAUGGCUGUGUGGUUGCUCCUCCUUCCUGGGACGUGGAAGUUUGGAUCUCCUAGAUGGAUGCAAAGAGGAAGCUGGAUGAUUAUGUGUAUGCAUACGCAUGAACUAAGCAUAUUGAGAAGUUGCAGUGGAUAAUAUUCUUCUGCUAGGUAUAUACUCACGCAAUGCGGCUUCAAAUUGGUUUUCAUGCAUACUCCAAAGGCAACAGUAACAUUUCUGAUUAUCUUAGGGUUAAUGAUGGAUGAUUUGGUCCAAUGUUUAAAUGUUGAGUUUAAGUUAAUUGCUUGAAUUGAAAUUUUCUUCAUUCAGUAGAUUGUUAUAUCUAUGUUUAUAGCAUUUUUUUUUAUUUCAUUAAAUUUUUUUUCGAGUCAUUCCAGUCUCUAUAGGUUAGGAACAAGUGUGGUAUGUGAAUUGUGAGACCUUGGAUAUUUAAAGGAUAUCUAUUUUGAUUGAUUAUGAAGCUUAGGUAUGUGAAAUAAAUAAUUG
rnacentral:misc_RNA from 1 species